GGUAUAGUAGCUUGAAGAACAUCGACCAAAGCUUGCAACUGAUGCCUGAAGGAAUCGCAAAGCGUUGGUUUGCCUUUCGAAGUUCCACGAGACAUAGUAGUCG